rnacentral:rRNA from 1 species
UACAGAGGUCCCAAGCGUUGUUCGGAUUCAUUGGGCGUAAAGGGUGCGUAGGUGGCGCUGUAAGUCGGGUGUGAAAUUUCGGAGCUUAACUCCGAAACUGCAUUCGAUACUGCGGUGCUUGAGGACUGGAGAGGAGACUGGAAUUCAUGGUGUAGCAGUGAAAUGCGUAGAGAUCAUGAGGAAGACCAGUGGCGAAAGCGGCGACCUGGACAAGCACUGACACUCAACUACGAAAGCGUGGGGAGCAAACAGG